rnacentral:lncRNA from 1 species
AACUCGUAUCCCGAAUUAGUACACCAUCUGACAGCGUCAUUUCGAGCAGUUUUACGACUUUCUGUCGCUAUACGAGGCAACACGUGUGCAGUCGGCCCUUUUGAUUUUUCCAAACGAAACGCUCCUUCCUCUCAGAAAAAUGUAGUAUAGCACAGCGAUAACGACGUCUCUAUCCGAAGGCAAAGUGCAUAUUUACGAGAACUGUGUGUCGGAGAUUCGUUUCGUGGUAUCAAUCGGUCCCAACUGGUUAAUCAAUUACGCAUAGCUCCGAGUCCAUAUUUCAGUACGAAAAAAGAAAAUCAACCGAACGACACUUCCCGAACACGUAUAGUAAGAACCCUGAGAAUGACUUAUUGUGCAACGUUACAUAAACGCGGACAGUAAGUAGCGAAUUAAUCGUUGGCGAACAAGCGAGGCGUUAAGGAAUCGAACGAGUUCCCGAAGGAAAUAACCAAGGCAAGAAAGAAGAAGAGGCAGAGGAAGAAGGAAAAAAAGGUAGACCGUAAAUCAGCGUUGAUUUAAGAGCAACGUCGUAAGCAGAAACGACUAGCUCGAGGGAGAAGAGCGUGGCACAGUAGGCCUUAUUGAGAUGCCGAGUGCACCCACACGUGUCGAACCUUCACAAAACGAGUCUUUAUGUUCUUCCAUGACGGUGUCAGGGGGUUCAAGACUUCGUAACAGUUCAAGACCGAGCGAUACGCAACGAGUCGCUUUUUCUUUCACCGCCUCGAACAGGAAUUCGAGACAGAGCUCUUUCUUUUCGUUCACUGUUUUUUGAUGAUGGAACUGCGAUCAAAUUUAUUCGAAUAACUUUAACAGAAAUACGCUCGAGCAUGGCUUUUUCUUAUUUUUAUGUCAAACGUGUUUCGUAAAAGUUGUCCCUUGCAGAUUAAUAGACAGACGUCGAUGCACAGAGAACCGAUCAUAACGUAUCACGCGAUUUCUCGAUCAGUAUAAUUGCCAGAACGUGACGAGUUACGGUUAAACCUUUCCUCGACGAAUCAAACGUCACACGCGAUUAUAGAUUCCGGCAUCUCGUGAAUGUAUCGACGAUUCGAUAAUUACAGUUUAGACACUUGGGAGAGUAGAAGAAUUGACGAUUUAGAAAUUCCAAAAUCUGAGAAGCUAAUGGAGCUUCGAAGACUUGAACAUUCUGAAAAUUCCAAACUUGGCUAUCUAGGGAUUGGAAAAUUGGAAACUGGAAGAGUAGAAGAAUUGAUGAUUUAGAAGCUCAGAAGUUCCAAAAUCUGAGAAGCUAAUAGAGCUUUGAAGACUUGAACACUCUGAAAAUUCCAAACUUGGCUAUUUAGGGAUUGGAAAAUUGGAAACUGGAAGAGUAGAAGGGCUGACGAUUUAGAAGCUUGGAAAUUCAAAAAUCUGAGAAGCUAAGAUUUAGAGCUUCGAAGAUUUGAACAUUCUAAAAAUUCCAAACUUGCCUAUUUAGGGAUUGGAAAAUUGGAAACUGGAAGAGUAGAACAAUUGACGAUUUAGAAGCUUGGAAAUUCCAAAAUCUGAAAAGCUAAGAUUUAGAGCUUCGAAGAUUUGAACAUUCUAAAAAUUCCAAACUUGCCUAUUUAGGGAUUGGAAAAUUGGAAACUGGAAGAGUAGAAGGGCUGACGAUUUAGAAGCUUGGAAAUUCAAAAAUCUGAGAAGCUAAGAUUUAGAGCUUCGAAGAUUUGAACAUUCUAAAAAUUCCAAACUUGCCUAUUUAGGGAUUGAAAAAUUGGAAACUGGAAGAGUAGAAGAAUUGACGAUUUAGAAGCUCAGAAAUUCCAAAAUCUGAGAAGCUAAUAGAGCUUCGAAGACUUGAACAUUCUGAAAAUUCCAAACUUGGCUAUUUAGGAAUUUGGAAAAUUGAACCCAGUAACUAUCUCCACACUUGCCUGUGUCCAUACGCAUAACCCUUAUUUCAAAUCAAACAAGUCCUACGUUGCACCCAAAAGUACACACCUUAUUUAAAAUUGCACCCCUACGAAUUUCUUGUUCGGCAAAAUUUUUCUGUCGAACCACCACAAAGUUGUAAAAUAUACAAGACGCAAGGGCGCGCAAUUUAUUAGCCCAUUAGCAUAAUUACCGUUAAGUACGAUACACGAACGACUUCACGCGGUUGAAAGAAGCUUAUUUUCUAUCGGACGAUUAAAAUUACCAAGCAAGAGAGGGUAAUCCGGUCUCUUAAACGGUUUCUCACUUAAUAGAAACGGGAGCAAUCUCGAUGUUCUCUUUAAUUAAUCGCUGAUAGAAGCCUGAGUAAUAUCCAUGUUUAAGACGAACUCCAUUUGGCGGCAAUCUUCGUUGCUUGUUGGCGCUGCUGCGAUCCUUAAAUCAUCCCGAUUAUCCUGGAUCCUUUCUCCGAUGUACAAAUACGAUUUCCUCGCCUGACGAUUUGUAACCGCAAUUAGUAUACUCGUGUGUUCGUUUUGCAAGAAAAAAAUAUUCCGUUUCUUCGAGCAGCGGAGUUUGAGCCUGAAUGUUUCUCCACACUUUACGCAUUAAUCCCUCGGUUACUGUCGGCACCUAUAAGUACACGGCGAAAAGAACUUUAUUGAUUGUGUGGAUUACGAAGGUCGUGCCGAGGGAGAAGAUGAAGGAAGAUCAUUUCAUCCCAGGUCUACAAAUGGACUCGCCGGUAAGGUUACCUAGGAGAUUGUGCUUUAGACGCAGUCAAUUACGUAGAUGGUUUAAGUGCCAGGAUAAGUAAGGAUCGAAGAAGUGCAGUUAUUGCCUAUGGUUAGACUCCGAGUGCGGUUAUUGCGAAUGAGCUUUGGUGAUAGGAACAUUACGAAAUUAUCUUCGUAGAUAUAAAAAAUCUUUUAGUUUAGUAUUAUAAUAAAUGAUAUAAGGUUAACGUAGUAACCUUAUGCAACGGAUGCAUAACACCUGUUAACCUCAAUUGACAGCGAAUGCUUUUUGCGCUACACCUUUUUCGCUCUUAUACAAGAUCGUGAAUACGCUCCGUCAAAUUAUAUAUUUUAAUUUGUAUCAAGAUCUGUGACAGGUGUACAAACAAGUCGAUCGCGAAUGCAAGUUUCUUCGGAGCAACUUGAUCGACAGAGAACAUGCUCUGAAAAGAGGAAAGGAAAAUGUUGCAAAUAGCAAGGUGUAUGAAUACGUAAACGUUUCUGCACAGGUAGACAUCGCUCUCCUCGAUUUUAUCUACUCAGCAUCCUGCAGAAACAUCGUGUAUCGGCGUCGGCGUCAACGUCCACUGAAAAGUCCCUUUUUCUACGUUCGUUCGCGGCUACGGUGAUGGUACAUCGACCACGACUUCUUCGCCAGUUUACCAUUCUUCCUUUCUGCCGACCUCUUCCGCCUCUUCUUCGUCCUUAACCGCCCGCUAGUUUUUCUUCCUUUCCCCCUCGUGCUAGCCUACCAGCUGGCCAACACUCCCUUCUUCUUCUUCUUCCUCUUCCAUUCGCGCGGCUCUGCGGUUCAUUUUUUGAAUUCUUCCGAGCAAAUAAUAACCGUAAAAAGCGGCACCGGGGCUUUGUACUUCGGAUGAUAGCCUCCUCCACGGGAUAAUUUGUUUUGAAAAUACACCAAUGUCUGGAAUGUCAUUUCGUUGCGAUUCCAUGCUUUUUUCUUUACGAGAAUUUUGCCACUUUUUAUUAUUUUUAUUUUGGAGAUCGAAGAUUUUUUUUUCACGUUAUUCAGUGAUUUCGAGAGAAAUUUCACCGACGCCAAUUUAAGGGCUAAUACCGGAAUUUUAUUAUAGCAAAUUUAAUUUUAUUCUAUUUUAUUAUAGCGUCUCGUUUUAUAGAAAUUUUAUUGCGCUUCAAUUUUUGCAGAAAUUUUACUGCGCCAGUUCGAACGUUGUUAAAUAAAUUUCAUAGAAAUUGCGACAAGUCGAAUGCUAACGUUUAAAGAAAUUUUAAUUUUAACGAUAUCUAUUAAGUAAAUUUUAUAGAAAUUUUACUGUGUCAUGUUUAACAUUCUCGUAUCAUUUUUAUACC